UGAACUUCCAACAAAUGGCUGAACGAGUAAAGUCUUAGUUAAGGAAUGCUUCCCUUGUCAAACCAGAACAUAAGAUCCUAAUAAAGUUGAUUGCCAAGUACAGGCCUCGUUGCAAGAUGGCAGCCUUUUAAGCCCCACAGAUGCUUGGAUACAGAAGAAGAGGGUGAUACUUGGAUACAGAAGAAAAAUAUGAGCCCCAUCAAGAUGCAAAUGGAAUAUGGAUUGUGUAGAGUAACAAACAUAUCAAUAUAGUGGAGUUCUGUAGGUGAUCUUAGUGCAAAAUAGUGGGGUGAGCAUUAUCAUCAUUUAACUCACUAGCACUUUGAACGAGAUGUGAGCCUCAUUAUGUCAGGUUUUCUAUAAAUAUGUAACAGUUCCUGUGCCUGAUGCACUCUGCGAUAGAGCCCUGGAUUCUUGCAAAAAGAUCUCCAUGCCUUCAUAAAGCCACAGUGAAGUCAAUGGAGCUCCACCUAAGCAAAGAGCCUGAUCGACUUCUCAUGCUGUUUUACAUCAGUGCACGUUCAGCUGAUGCCCUGGAGUUCUCCUCAGUUUGCAUGAUUGAAUAACUGUAAAGAGCCGGACACUAUACAGGCAGUCCUCAACUUAUGACUUCUCAAGUUACGAUGAAUGGCACUUACCAUGUUUAGAAAGUGACACCCUAUUUCGAUGUUCCAACACAGGUUUUGACUUUACAAUGCUCAGUACAGCUGUGUCCAGCUGGUAAGUCCGUUGUGGUGGAAGGGGAGGGGAAAAGGAAGGGGUGUGAGAGGCAGAUCAAGGCCCCCCACAGUGAGGGAGGGAAAAUUGGUUCCAAGUUACAAUGUCUUGACUUACAUUUGGUUCCUGAAAACCACAUCUUGUUGCAAGUCCAAGGACUACCUGUAUCAUCUGUAAUGGGGAACCCUCUGUUCCAUCUCCCCAUUCACAUGUAAAAGUUAAGGACCCACAUUCUAGUAUGACACUUCUUCACUUGUUGUCAGUCCCUCGUAUGGCAAGGGUACCAUGGAUACAGGUUCUCAGCUGCUAUCACUGGGGGAAAAUCCCAUUGAAAUCAAUGGAGUGUGCACCUGUUUACACCAGAUGUAAUGCUGGCUCGUGGCCCUUACUAUAACAAGGUGCAUACCUGUGAGCUUGUAUGUGUGGCUUGCAAUGCCUCAAAGCCACCCUUAAGGCACCACAAACCACAUGUGGCACACUUGCACCUGUGCACCAUGCUGCUAAUUUGCAGUGUGGCAGGAUUUUGAC
ensembl:lncRNA